UACAGAGGGUGCGAGCGUUGUCCGGAUUUAUUGGGCGUAAAGGGCGCGUAGGGGGUUUGGCAAGUCUUUGGUUAAAUCUCGGGGCUUAACUCCGAAACCGCCAAAGAAACUGCCAGACUAGAGAGUGUUAGAGGUGGAUAGAACGCACGGUGUAGGGGUGAAAUCCGUUGAUAUCGUGCGGAAUACCAAAGGCGAAGGCAUUCCACUGGGACAUUUCUGACCCUGAGGCGCGAAAGCGUGGGGAGCAAAA
rnacentral:rRNA from 1 species